UAAAAACUUAAUUUUAUUGGAAUUACAGCGUGCACAUAUAUAAACAUCAAACAUAAUAUAAUUCCGUUAUUAUAAACAUAAAAUUAAUUAAAUAUAUACCUUUAUUAUUCAUAGAAGGAAUUAUUACGCAGAUGAAAAAUUUUACAUACAAAUAUUUUCUUUAAUUUAUAAUUUUAAAUCAAAUCACCUUUAUUCUUUUUAUAACUAAUUACUCCUUUUAAACGUUGACGAUUGUAUAAAAUAUACACAAUAAAAAAAAAAGAAAAAAAGUUAAGGUCAAAUUCAUAUAUUAUAUAUCACUCUAAAAUAUGAGGGAUUACGUUUGUAUAUAUUUUAUAGUUUCAAUCUAAAAUUGGUAGAAUAUAUAUGUGUACAUUUUUUAAUCUUAAUUAAUUUAGAGGCAUCUUAAUUUUUUAUAUAAUAUAUUAAUUCUUAAAAAAAUUUUAAAAAAUAGAAUUAUUAAAAUUUAUUUGUUAAAUAGAGUGGAUUUUUUUUUUAAAUUAUACAUAAAAAAAUAAAUUACGGAUAUGAACAACGAAGUGUAAUGUGUAACUCACGUUACUAGAAAAAUUAGGAGAAUGAACAAGACUAAAUAUUUUUGCUAGUAAAUAAUUAUAUCUAAAUAUUUUAAUUCUGAAACACAUAUCUGGCCUUUAAAUUGAGAACAAUUAUACAUUAAAUCUUAAUUCUAUAGCAACAAAGUGUAUUGGAUAUAAUUUUUUUAACAAAAUUCAUUUUUUCUAAAUUAAUUUUAAAGUUCGCCUACAAUUUUUUUUUUUCAAUUUUAAAGGUUAAUUUGCCAAUUAUCGAAAAGAUUUGACCUUUUAUCCGAUAUUUUUUUUGUGGUUGAAUCUAGGUCCAUG
rnacentral:misc_RNA from 1 species